rnacentral:rRNA from 1 species
AUUGAACGCUGGCGGCAGGCCUAACACAUGCAAGUCGAGCGAGCGGCGGACGGGUGUGAAUUGUAUGGGGACUGUCCGAGAGAGGGGGAUAACUAUUGGAAACGGUAGCUAAUACCGCAUACUAUCGGAUAACCCAUAGGGGAUUAGCUAGUAGGUGGGGUAACGGCUCACCCAGGCGACGAUCCCUAGCUGGUCUGAGAGGAUGAUCAGCCACACGGGAACUGAGACACGGCCCAGACUCCUACGGAGGCAGCAGUGGGGAAUAUUGCACAAUGGGCGCAAGCCUGAUGCAGCCAUGCCGCGUGUAUGAAGAAGGCCCUAGGGUUGUAAAGUACUUGCAGUCGGGAGGCGUUACCGGCAGAAGAAGCACCGGCUAACUCCGUGCCAGCAGCCGCGGUAAUUC